rnacentral:rRNA from 1 species
UACGGGGGGAGCAAGCGUUGUUCGGAUUUACUGGGCGUAAAGGGCGGGUAGGCGGCCACCGCAAGUCAGUUGUGAAAUCCCCGGGCUUAACCUGGGAACCGCAUUUGUGACUGCAUAGCUGGAGUACGGCAGAGGGGGAUGGAAUUCCGCGUGUAGCAGUGAAAUGCGUAGAUAUGCGGAGGAACACCGAUGGCGAAGGCAGUCCCCUGGGCCUGUACUGACGCUCAUGCACGAAAGCGUGGGGAGCAAACAGG